CCUGCCGUCUACUCUUGGACAGCCUUCUGAAAGGAAGAUUAAUACAAGAUGGCAUCAUGAGUCCGCAUGUUCACAUGAUUAAAGGUAUUCCGGUAGACGAUGGGGAUGCGUUCCAUUAGAUAGUAGGCGGGGUAACGGCCCACCUAGUCUUCGAUGGAUAGGGGUUCUGAGAGGAAGGUCCCCCACAUUGGAACUGAGACACGGUCCAAACUCCUACGGGAGGCAGCAGUGAGGAAUAUUGGUCAAUGGGCGAGAGCCUGAACCAGCCAAGUAGCGUGAAGGAUGACUGCCCUAUGGGUUGUAAACUUCUUUUAUAAAGGAAUAAAGUCGGGUAUGCAUACCCGUUUGCAUGUACUUUAUGAAUAAGGAUCGGCUAACUCCGUGCCAGCAGCCGCGGUAAUACGGAGGAUCCGAGCGUUAUCCGGAUUUAUUGGGUUUAAAGGGAGCGUAGAUGGAUGUUUAAGUCAGUUGUGAAAGUUUGCGGCUCAACCGUAAAAUUGCAGUUGAUACUGGAUAUCUUGAGUGCAGUUGAGGCAGGCGGAAUUCGUGGUGUAGCGGUGAAAUGCUUAGAUAUCACGAAGAACUCCGAUUGCGAAGGCAGCCUGCUAAGCUGCAACUGACAUUGAGGCUCGAAAGUG
rnacentral:rRNA from 1 species